rnacentral:rRNA from 1 species
AGAUAAUAGAUACCCCGGUAGUCCUAGCAGUAAACGAUGACCACUAGGUGUGGGGGGUGUUGACCCCUUCCGUGCCGAAAGCCAAACGCAUUAAGUGGUCCGCCUGGGGAGUACGGUCGCAAGACUAAAACUCAAAGGAAUUGACGGGGACCCGCACAAGCAGCGGAGCGUGUGGUUUAAUUCGAUGCAACGCGAAGAACCUUACCUGGGCUUGACAUGCAAUCGCAACUCCCUGAAAGGGGAGCCUCCUUCGGGACGGUUGCACAGAUGCUGCAUGGCUGUCGUCAGCUCGCGUCGUGAGAUGUUGGGUUAAGUCCCGCAACGAGCGCAACCCUCGUCUUUAGUUGAAAAUCUAAAGAGACUGCCGGAAACAAACCGGAGGAAGGUGGGGAUGAUGUCAAGUCAGCAUGGCUCUUACGUCCAGGGCUACACACACGCUACAAUGGUCGUUACAGCGAGAAGCGACACUGCGAAGUGAAGCAGAUCUCUAAAAGGCGGCCUCAGUUCAGAUUGCACUCUGCAACCCGAGU